UCUGUGGCAUUAUUCACACCUCCUAGCAGCCCCACUGCCCUGCAAGCCAGGCCAGAGGGAGGUGAGAGCCUCCGUUCGGGCAUGUACUGGUGUGGUAGCAAUAGGACAUGGGUUUAAUACCCACAGCCUGUCAAUGUUUUCCCUCUUGUAUCUUUUAAAUCAGUGAAACAGCAGUUUUCCUACUGGGUUUGUGGAUGCCUCCUGUAAGCUGAGCUGUGAUAUGGAUUCCAGCCCCAUAUCACAGGUGAUACAGACACCCCAUGCUGGGAUCAAGACCUGGUUUCGUGCCCUUGCCACCUCCUCCUUAAAACCUCCCCUCAUCCCAGCAAACCUAGAGAAGCUGCCAACCCAGACAGCAUCAGGAUUUACUUCAAGAAAAUAAACCCGUGGGAAACAAAUUCCUACAACUACUUUGCUACACGCAGUGAUGGGGGGGUUUGUGGUCCCAGUGUAAGGGGAGGGGGAAGAAUCCCCUACAGAUGCUCCUGUAGGAGGAUGUGGGACCUCGAAUUUCCCCAGCCAGGAGGAGAUCUGAGAGGGCUGUGGGAGGCAUUGAGCCCUCACAGGGCUGCAGACGGGGCUGGGACCCGGCUCUGGCACCCAAGAAACAUCAGUGGGUGCUACAACACUUGCUAGAACUCGCCCUGAGCAAACCCACGCCCCUGAGACAGGCAGCAGUGUCAAUAAAUCGAUGGCAAGCCACUUCCUCCACCUGGGAAAGGGCUCGAGGAGCCCCAGGUCUUUGUGCUGCUGCUUACCUCAGGUCUGGCUUUGUUGUUUUUUUUUUUCAAACCACUUGCUUCCUAUUCUCAUUAAACAGAGCUGAUUGUGACUGCUGGAUUUUUUUUUUAAAACCAAGCUCCUUUCUGUCUCCCGCUCCUCUUCACUUAAUUUUCUUUCCUUACAGAGUCGUGGCAGAUUCCCUGAGCCCCUGGCAUGACGGCUUAUUGCACCAAAGGCAGGAGGCAGCCCCUCCUGCUGCCACGCCAAGGAUGCCAGUGAAGAACAAAUCCCACGCUGGCAGGAGAGCAUCGCUCCUUGGGCACAGGCAUCCCUGCACUCUUACACUGAGUCCCAUGCAGAAGGUGCUGUGCUGGGACACCACAGGACGAGGCAGGGCUGCCCACGACAGCCAUCUGCAGCGAAGUGUGACCUCUCCCAGCUUUGAAAGCAGUGCUCCCUUUUGCAAUCAAUUGCAGGAUGCAAUUAGCUGAUUUCUUCCCCCGCUGGAAGGAUCUACCUGUUCUGCUGCAGAUGCUGCUCAAGCGAUGGGAAAGCAAAGCGAUGCCAUGACCCAACCUUUCAGGGUAGUGCAAAAGAUAAUGUUUUGGCCGACUCAAAGAAUCCUCACUGGGGACACUGUGCCACCCUCGGGUGCUGCUCCCUGCUCUCUGCCUUCUCCCUGUGCACGGAGAGCUCCUCAGCACAGCCAUCGUUAAGCACCGGUUUUAUUGCACAGCGCUGCUGUCUGCUAGCAAAGACCUGAUGUGUUGUUAUAUCAGUGCAUGCUUAUUAAAUUUACAAUUCAUAAUCAAAAUCUUACGACAUUGUUUUGCAGGAAAGGCUUCUGUGAGGCUUGCUUCUUUUAAUACCAACAUAAAGGCUUCAAAUGGUGCAA